AUUCAAAUGGACAUUCAUUGCACCUGUCAUACUCAUCAUUCUGAUUAAUAUGGGCUUUUUUAUCAUGGCUAUUGCAAUAAUGAGAAGACACAGAAAGAAUCAACCAAAAAAUAGUCAAUACAGUAAUAUAAAAUAUUGGUUGAAAUCAUCAUUAUCACUGACUGUUGUGAUGGGCAUAGCAUGGCUUGGUAAUGUCCUCUUCUUCACGAAAGAGCUUCUCUUCAUUGCAUACAUCAUGACAGUCUUCAUUGCUGCUCAA